rnacentral:rRNA from 1 species
AACGCUGGCGGCGUGCUUAACACAUGCAAGUCGAACGGAAAGGCCCUGCUUUUGUGGGGUGCUCGAGUGGCGAACGGGUGAGUAACACGUGAGUAACCUGCCCUUGACUUUGGGAUAACUUCAGGAAACUGGGGCUAAUACCGGAUAGGAGCUCCUGCUGCAUGGUGGGGGUUGGAAAGUUUCGGCGGUUGGGGAUGGACUCGCGGCUUAUCAGCUUGUUGGUGGGGUAGUGGCUUACCAAGGCUUUGACGGGUAGCCGGCCUGAGAGGGAGACCGGCCACAUUGGGACUGAGAUACGGCCCAGACUCCUACGGGAGGCAGCAGUGGGGAAUAUUGCACAAUGGGCGGAAGCCUGAUGCAGCAACGCCGCGUGCGGGAUGACGGCCUUCGGGUUGUAAACCGCUUUCGCCUGUGACGAAGCGUGAGUGACGGUAAUGGGUAAAGAAGCACCGGCUAACUACGUG